GAAAAUCAUUACAAUCAAUAGUUUGACCUAGUGGAACACUCAGAACUGUUCACCAUGUACCUGCAUUGGCUUAUAUUAUUUCUUGCCUCAGCUGAAACUCUCAACGUGUCAGAAAAUAAACCAGCCUGUGACCCGGCAGUUUAUCAAGAAUCUUACACGGAAAUAUUUGAGUUUGUCCUAAAAUUAUUUAACAACAUGGAAACCUACAAGCGGCCCUUUAUUUAUGGCGGUCGUUCACUUGUUUUUGUGGACAUCUAUGUAACCUCUAUUGUGGCUGUGAAUGAAAAGACCCAAAGCCUCUCAACACAGGUCAAAAUGAUGACUGU